rnacentral:rRNA from 1 species
GACGAACGCUGGCGGCGUGCUUAACACAUGCAAGUCGAACGGAAAGGCCCUGCUUUUGUGUGGUGCUCGAGUGGCGAACGGGUGAGUAACACGUGAGUAACCUGCCCUUGACUUUGUGAUAACUUCAGGAAACUGGGGCUAAUACCGGAUAGGAGCUCCUGCUGCAUGGUGGGGGUUGGAAAGUUUCGGCGGUUGGGGAUGGACUCGCGGCUUAUCAGCUUGUUGGUGGGGUAGUGGCUUACCAAGGCUUUGACGGGUAGCCGGCCUGGGAGGGUGACCGGCCACAUGGGGACUGAGAUACGGACCAGACUCCUACGGGAGGCAGCAGUGGGGAAUAUUGCACAAUGGGCGGAAGCCUGAGGCAGAAACGCCGCGUGCGGGAUGACGGCUUUCGGGUUGUAAACCGCUUUCGCCUGUGACGAAGCGUGAGUGACGGUAAUGGGUAAAGAAGCACCGGCUAACUACGUG